AACAACGAUUCAAUGAUUGCAACUGUUGAAUCAACAAAACUAGAUUAUGAAUGGAGGAACGACUGAACAAAACAUGUUGGAGCUGAUUCAUUGGCAUUGGCGAAGGGAUCCAGUUUGUGAGGUGCGGUGUCUUGGCGUUCCGACUGUCGACAUGCGAAACCUCUGUCGCGUUCUACAAGUUUGUUCAGACAAUUUUGAUUCAUCACUUAGGUUCUGUAAGUAGAUUAAGUUAACUGUUUAAGUGAAGCAUUUAUGGUUAAUGUUAGUUGAAAUGAAAGGAGAAGACUGGUGGUAAGAUUAUUCUUAGGACUGGUGGUGUGUUGUAUCUUUUUCGGGGUAAACAUUAUGAUCCGCACAACAGGUCGAAAUACCAUGUGAUUCUGUGGAAGCCUGCAACUCGGUUUACCUAAAGCUUAUACAAGAAUCACCGGAAGGGUUGACGAAAGAAGAAGCUGAUGAGUUGAGAAUGAAAGGGAAAAAACUUCCCCCGAUUUGUAAACUAGGUAAGAACGGUUGAAGAGUAGAAAUGUCUCACAACUGUAGAGGAUCCGGAGGUGGCGGAGGGCGCGUGGAGGUCGCGGUCGCUCUGGUGGUUCUGAUUUGAAAUGCUACCAUUGUGGUGACAUUGGCCAGUUUGCUCGUGAGUGCCGUGGUGGCGGUGGUGAUAGACGCCGCCGCCGCGGCCGUAGCCCAGUCAACAGGUACCGACGGAGUCCUAGCUACGUUCAGAGGAGCUACAGUCCUCGUGGCCAAUCACCAUCCUCGUGGCGGAUCACCGCCACGCCGUAGGGUGUCACCCCUCACAAGAUUAACUAC